CCUUGGGGGAGCAGCUGGGCUCCCUGCACCUGCAGCCCCAGGGUCCUCCAGGGGAGGGCUCUUGCCACACCUCCCUGGACACCGGCCGUGCUCCAGGGAUGCCGAGUGCGAGGAGGCCAGCGUGUGUUGGCUUCUGGGUAAACGCGAGCCGUCGUGCACGAGUCUCCACGAGUCUGUGAUGCGAUGUGGGGGCCCCAGCACCGCUAGCGUCUCAGACUGGCCUGAGCAUCCACAGUCUGCCGUGGGCCUCAGUGGCCCUGCUGCCUCCCUCCCUGGGGAGCUGGCUGAGAGGGCGCAGGUCGGGCUGUCUGGGCAGUGCUGGGCAGCGCCCCUCGCCUGGCAGCAGCCCCCGGCCUUCACCCUCUGGCACCUCAGAGCCUCUAGUGCUGCCUCUAGUGCUGCCUCUAACGCUGCCGUGGAGAACGCUCCGCAGGGGCUCCCUGGGAUGGGUGCUGCGGCUGUUGCCCUGGUAACAGGACCAUUAGCUGAGUUCCAGUCUCGCUGUGCGGUGAGGUAAUGUCUGCUGUGCAGCCUGCCUGUCGCCCCACUCCCACCCUGCGCCUCGUGCCCAGCCGACUUCCGGCCCUGCCACCUGAGCGUGCUCCCCACGGGGCUGUGGCUCAACCACACCCUUCCUCAGGCUCAGACGCCCCGCCGGACAAAGCCCCACCGCCACCUCCCUGGCCCUUCUCCCACCUCCCUGGCCCUUCUCCCACCUCCCUGGCCCUCUCAAUCCUGAUUGCCCCCCCCACCCAUCCACCCACCCGACCAAACCCAGCGCAGCCCUGCUGCAUGCAGAGCGGUCCUGGCGGGGGGGCUGGGCCUGGGACAGAGCCAGGAGGCGUGGGAAAGGAGGCCCUGGCGCAGUGACCUUGGGCCGGAGGCACACAGUGCAUGUUUCAGUGCAUGGGUUCACAUGCAGCUGUCUCUGAAAUCAGGGCUCUUGCUAGGCUGGACAACCUUAGCAAAGACCCUUAACCUCUCGGUCUCACUUUCUUCAAUGCAAAGUGGAGGGGAUGGUGGAAGGGUCCUCCGUAGGGCUUUUCUGCCCAGGUACAGAAAGUGCUCGGCUCAGCGUCUUUAAAGGGUUGGUGCAGCUGCGGCCUGGUAAGAGGCGGAUGCAGCUCGGUGAGGAGAAGGCGCCCUGUGGUUGCUGGUGAGCUCAGGACCUGGAUCCACGUUCUGCAGCUUUGCCCCUUUUGCUUGCUUGAAUAGCAUGGUUCCCCUAUUUCACUUGCCCCUCUCCUGGGCGUCACCCCGACUUAUCGUGCUUUGGGAUGACUUUUUAAGAACUCGGGGUCAUGAGUGCCACACCGGCAGAACUGGGUCACGGUGCUGGUGUCGGUGGUAGGAGAGAGUCUGUGUGCCACGGGGUGAGGAGGGAGAGGACGAGGGGUAGGCGUGGGUAGCUUCCUCGCUGACUUCCUGGUGCCAGAUGCUCUGAAGCCUCGUUCCCUGCAGGUAACAGAGUGGGGGCCGCGUGAGUUUCCACGGACUCUCCUCUUCUUUAAUUAAACCGCCUCAACAUGGCAAUUUUCUAAAUAUUUUCCCGUCAUUCCAGGUACUUACACUUUCAAUAACCUGCACAUGGAUUCCGUGCUAUUUAAUUAAGCCCUAAACCUAUAAAAAUGCACAUUUAAUACUCCCAGUAAACCCUUGACUUGCUCUCUCUGAAGAUGAGCUGGCGAGAUUUCUUCUUGAGCUCAGCGUUCAGAGAUAAUUAAGAUUAGUUGCCAUAGAGAAGGAGAGAGGAGCACAUUAAAAUGUAUCAUGCUUUUUGUGUUUAGGAAAUUCAUUUAAUUAAAUAUUCAGAGCACUCGGAUCUGCGAGACCCAGGCACCUAUUAAUCUGUGGACGGCUGCGGCUCCGGAGGGGCCCCUCAUCGGGGAGUGUGUCCAUGGUGCUGCUCUUUGCCAGGAUCCUGCACUGGCUCCCCAUUGCCCUGGUCUGGGGGUGCUCAGCCUUGUUGACCGGGGUCCUCCAGUCCUCCGGGUCUGGACCCCAGCUCCCCUCCAUGCCCACUGGGUCGGUGCCUGAGAGCUCUGGGGUCACUUGGGUUGCCCCAGCCUCCUCCUCCUCCGAGCUCCUGCUCACCCUGUGAGACCCGCUUGGGGGUGAGAUCCUGGGGUUCCUCUUGCCGAGCCCCCGAGCGUCCUCAGACCUUGCCCCUUCAUGACAUUCUCCUCACAGUGCCCCUGGCUGUGCCUUUCUCCCCCGGCUGGGCUCCUUGAGGGCAGGCACCUGGCUUUACUAAUUUGCGUAUUUACAUACUAGGUCCUGCAGCUCCUGAAUCCCUCCUGCUGAAGAAAUGAAGUUAACAAUGUCACUUUGGCAGUUAGUACGCUUUGUGACGCCAUAAUGGUUUUUUAAUAAACUUUAUUUUUAGAAAUAUAUCGAUAUUUUUAGUUGUAGCUUGACACAAGACCUUUAUCUUAUUUAUUUAUUUUUAUGUGGUACUGAGGAUUGAACCCAGGGCCUUGCACGUGCUAGGUGAGCCCUAUACCACUGAGCCACAACCCCUGCCCGCCAUAACGCUUUUUUAAGGGAGCAAUUGUCUUGUCUUAUCCGUGGUGAUGCCUGUAAAGUUCUGCAGUUUGCCGCUGGAGUACAGCUCAGUGAUAGAGCACUUGCCUAGCGUGUGGGAGGCUCUGGGGUUGAUCCCCAGGCCUACAAAGAAUGAAGUGCAAAAGUUGUGCAAUUCCAUAUUGAAGGAUGAUUUUCUUCAGGUACCUGGCUGCAGUAUAUAAAGCUAAACGGAGGGUUCGUGGCUACCUCUAGGGUUAACAGCAGAAGGCUGGAAGUUAGAGACUACAAAAACUACUUCCUUCCUGAUACCAGCAGCACCUGGUCGGUACUAAAUGCUGGCAGGUGACAUGACCUGGUGGCUGGUGGUGGCUUCCCGGCAGGGGACAUGGCAGCCUGCUGAACUUGUCCUCCGUUCACUUUCUGUAGACUGGGGAUGACCACAGUGUGUCACCGAGGUUGGCUUGGGCAUUGAGUGAGAAGCUCAAGCCACUUGGUGAGCCCGGUGCCUGGAGAUGAACAUGUGUUCAAUGAAAGGAGCUCUUUUGUUUGAAUUUACGGUGGUUCUGAGUCAUUCCUAAAAUACGUGAUGACAAUACAAAAUAAAAUAAUAACACGCUUUCCCAAAGAAACAGCAGUCGCUGUCUUAGAUGCCACUUGGUGGGUGAGUUGGAACGUUUCUAACAGGGAGUGGAGACCCUCGGAGGUUGUAGCCUCUCCAGAAGAGUUCUGAAGCUGCCUGGCUCAGCCGUCCCUCAGAAAGAAGCUGCCCCGACUGUGCGUCCGACCUGUGCGUCCGACCUGUGCGUCCGACCUGUGCUUCUGACCUGUGCGUCCGACCUGUGCUUCCGACCUGUGCGUCCGACCUGUGCUUCCGACCUGUGCUUCUGACCUGUGCGUCCGACCUGGGCUUCCGACCUGUGCGUCUGAACACCUGCUAGCGUUUAGCAAGACCAGCGGCGAGGUCUCUGGACCGUCCACUGGAGGAGGUCAGGACACAGCCUGUGGAUGCCGACCUCCGGUCCCCACAAGAGCCACCCUCUGAGAGUGUCACCUGCUGAUGUGGAACUCUGGGGACUCGGGAGGGCCACAUCUGGGGCUGCCUCCUGCUUCACUCCCCCUGAGACCUGUGGCUCCCCAGUCCUGCCUCUCAUUUGGACUAGGAAAGGGGAGGGUGUGACACCUGAGGAAGGGCUCCCUUAGAAGUCAGGACUCGUGUCUCAGACAUUGUCCUCUGUGGUCACGCGUGACCGAGGAGAAGAGUCACUUCGUCGGGUCAUUUGGUCUCUUGUCCUUACCAACCCACUCUUUGCUGAAGGAGAAGGUGGACUUGGGGUACGCCUGAUUCUGGGGUGUCGAGACUUAUGAGCAUCUCAAGGUGUGCCAGUGUCUGAGGACAGUCCUGGGGUGUCCCUAGAGUCGCACCUGUGCACCUGAGCAUGCUUGCCUGGGCCAGGAGAGGCUGCUGCCUCUCAGAGACCCCGCUGUGAACCCGUCCUCCUCCUCCCUCCUCUCAAAACCAGAGGCUAAGGGGCGGGUGACUGGUGGGGUCCAGGGCCUGGGGGUCAAAAUCAGAAAGGGCCUGGGAUGGUGCUUUCAGAACCUCCCUGUGCGGCCCUGUCCUCACCCGAGAGAAGAGACAGCUGCCUCUGGGUCUCUGGGCCAGGCCAGCAGUGGGCAGGACUCAGCCCUUGGCCCCUGCUGGAGCCGUCCAGCUGUCCUUGACUGAGAGCACCCUCCAGCCAGUGGCCGGGGGAGGGGAUCUGGAACUGGCUUCCUGGAGGCUGGGAUCGAGGUGGCCCCAGGGUGAGCAGGGGACGCGAGCAGGGGACAGCGGAGCUCCCAGCUUUGUUGGGGGGAGUGGAAGUGUCUUUCCACAGAAGAGCCUCUGUUCCUGGAGCCAUCAAGCAGUGCAGCUCCAUGCCCCGGAGGGGACCGAGGGCACCAUUCAGAGACCGGGAGAAGCUCACGGGGCUGGAGGGCAGCCGGGGAGCCUGGGUUUUACGGUCAAGGCCAAUGGGGCCAGUUGAUGGGGCAAUCAGAGCCACACAGGGGACCAGGCAGAAGACUUGUUUUAAUUGAAAAGUAAUUCAUGCUCCUGGAAAUAACUCAAUAAAAACAAAAAACCUGUCACUGAAAA